UGCCCGCCCUCGGCGUAUCUGGAUCGCGAUGGCGAGAGCCAUGGGGAGCGAGAUCAAGAUCCCGCAGGCCAUGGGGAGCGAGGUCGGCCCGAGAACGCGAUGCAGCUCGCUCGCGAUCUCCUUCCUCCUUUCUCCCUGUUCUCCUUCCUCAUUGGCUGGCAUUUCCCAUCCCUUUAGAGAAUAAUAAGGCCAUGGGAGCAAGCUAACAAGCUCCUAAGAAACCCAUAUCUCUUGAAAACCCACCAUAAAUUCACUUAAAAACGACCAAUAGUACCACCGCCCACGCACAAAAAAAGAAGCGACUCUCUUGCUUGUUAUCACAAAGCAAACUCAUUUCUCUGAGCUUUUGCUGGAUUUUAGGUGGCUUUGUGCAGCCUUUAUCCUGAUUUUGUUUCUCUUUUUCUGUUUCCAUUGCCACCAACUCGAUCAGUGCUGUUAAAGCC
rnacentral:lncRNA from 1 species